rnacentral:tRNA from 1 species
GCCGAGGUCGCUUAGUCUGGCCAUAGCGCUGGAUUGCUAAUCCAGUGUCCUCACGGGCACGAGAGUUCGAAUAGUUUGAGCAUAAGGGAAAAAUAACCCAGAAGCUCUGCUUCGAGAGUCUCUCCCUCGGCG